GGGUAGCCUUGUACGGCGAGUGAGCGGCAAAAGCUCAAAUUUGAAAUCUGGUACCUUCGGUGCCCGAGUUGUAAUUUGGAGAGGGCAACUUUGGGGCCGUUCCUUGUCUAUGUUCCUUGGAACAGGACGUCAUAGAGGGUGAGAAUCCCGUGUGGCGAGGAGUGCGGUUCUUUGUAAAGUGCCUUCGAAGAGUCGAGUUGUUUGGGAAUGCAGCUCUAAGUGGGUGGUAAAUUCCAUCUAAAGCUAAAUAUUGGCGAGAGACCGAUAGCGAACAAGUACAGUGAUGGAAAGAUGAAAAGAACUUUGAAAAGAGAGUGAAAAAGUACGUGAAAUUGUUGAAAGGGAAGGGCAUUUGAUCAGACAUGGUGUUUUGUGCCCUCUGCUCCUUGUGGGUAGGGGAAUCUCGCAUUUCACUGGGCCAGCAUCAGUUUUGGUGGCAGGAUAAAUCCAUAGGAAUGUAGCUUGCCUCGGUAAGUAUUAUAGCCUGUGGGAAUACUGCCAGCUGGGACUGAGGACUGCGACGUAAGUCAAGGAUGCUGGCAUAAUGGUUAUAUGCCGCCCGUCUUGAAA
rnacentral:rRNA from 1 species